AAUUGUAAGAACCUUCUGAAGGUCUCUAUGGUCUGCUUCGAAGCUAACUAGAAGAUUGUGUUAUCCAGUUCAAAUUUCUAACCAAGAACUUAUCCCAGGAAGAACUUCCUGGAAGGGCUGAUUCAGGAGGAGGGGGCGAUGCUGCACAUACUUAUACAGGACUUUAUAGAUUUCCAAAUUGUUUUCAAAGGCAACUCUAUAUCCAGAGUAUUGCAGUAAUCUAAUCACAAAGUGAUGAAGGCAUGAGUCAAAAGUGCAAGGGCUUUGUAAUAGAGCAUCGGCCAAAAGACCUCAUGGUCAUGGACUUCCGCUGCCAAUACAGUAGUAGCCUUGAGUCCUGGAAGGCCUCCAAGUUGUGGAUUUGCUCCCUCAGGAGCAGUGCCACCCCAUCAAGAGACAACAGUGAAGAUGACCAACAAGGGUAACUCCAUCUUGCUUCUGUCCAAUUUCAACCUUUAUCCCAUCCAGAGCAUUACAGCCUCCAGAGAAGACUUCCACAGCAUUACAGCUGCUUCCUCUACUUGAUCCCUUCACUUCAACACUUCCCUCCUUGGAACUCAAAAUGGCUCAGGAACCUUUGAAACCACAGUCCUGAUAACACAUCUCUUCCAAGCAUUGUCCAGUUAACAAACAUCUGUGCUGGUUCUUUUCAAGCACAGAUAGUGUUUCUGUAAAGACAAUAAAACUUUGCUUUGUCAA